rnacentral:tRNA from 1 species
GGUCUUAUAGUGUAGUCGGUCAUCACCGAGGACUUUGAAUCCUCUAACCCGAGUUCAAUUCUCGGUAGGACCU